rfam:Pteropus alecto contig104264, whole genome shotgun sequence.
AAAAAGGCUCUUUUCAGAGCCACCACUGAUCUCAGAGACAGAGCUG